rnacentral:rRNA from 1 species
GACGGAGGAUGCAAGUGUUAUCCGGAAUCACUGGGCGUAAAGCGUCUGUAGGUGGUCAAAUAAGUCAACUGUUAAAUCUUGAGGCUCAACCUCAAAAUCGCAGUCGAAACUAUUCGACUAGAGUAUAGUAGGGGUAAGGGGAAUUUCCAGUGGAGCGGUGAAAUGCGUAGAGAUUGGAAAGAACACCGAUGGCGAAGGCACUUUACUGGGCUAUUACUAACACUCAGAGACGAAAGCUAGGGUAGCAAAUGGG